UAGUUAACAGAAUCCUAGAUGAUUUGUUUAUUACAACCUCAAUAAAAUAAUACGUACAAGAUUCUAAUUAUACUUAACAACAACAUAGGUGAAUCUAAGAUGACCAAGAAAAACAAAAGAAACCAGCAGAAACACACAACACUUGGGUCAAUAUCUUUUUCACGUGGGGACCUCAAAGUUAUGUCACUUUAGGUGCCCAACAUAGCACAUUCCAUUUGUCC
rnacentral:lncRNA from 1 species